GAUGAACGCUGGCGGCGUGCCUAAUACAUGCCAGUCGAGCGAACAGACGAGGAGCUUGCUCCUCUGACGUUAGCGGCGGACGGGUGAGUGACACGUGGAUAACCUACCUAUAAGACUGGGAUAGCUUCGGGAAACCGGAGCUAAUACCGGAUAAUAUAUUGAACCGCAUGGUUCAAUAGUGAAAGACGGUUUUGCUGUCACUUAUAGAUGGAUCCGCGCCGCAUUAGCUAGUUGGUAAGGUAACGGCUUACCAAGGCAACGAUGCGUAGCCGACCUGAGAGGGUGAUCGGCCACACUGGAACUGAGACACGGUCCAGACUCCUACGGGAGGCAGCAGUAGGGAAUCUUCCGCAAUGGGCGAAAGCCUGACGGAGCAACGCCGCGUGAGUGAUGAAGGUCUUCGGAUCGUAAAACUCUGUUAUUAGGGAAGAACAAAUGUGUAAGUAACUAUGCACGUCUUGACGGUACCCAAUCAGAAAGCCACGGCUAACUACGUG
rnacentral:rRNA from 1 species